rnacentral:rRNA from 1 species
GUGAACGAGCGACGCCGCGUGCGGGAUGAAGGGCUUCGGCUUGUAAACCGCUUUUCUUUGGGAAGAAGGCAUGGGUCGUGAACCUGUGCUCGACGGUACCAGAGGAAUAAGCCCCGGCUAACUCCGUGCCAGCAGCCGCGGUAAGACGGAGGGGGCAAGCGUUGUUCGGAAUUAUUGGGCGUAAAGGGCUCGUAGGCGGACCGGUAAGUCUGGCGUGAAAUCUCCACCGCUCAACGGGGAGAGGCCGCUGGAAACUGCCGUGUCUUGAGUUUGGCAGAGGAGCGUGGAAUUCCGCAUGUAGCGGUGGAAUGCGUAGAUAUGCGGAAGAACACCGGUGGCGAAGGCGGCGCUCUGGGCCAAAACUGACGCUGAGGAGCGAAAGCCAGGGGAGCAAACGGGAUUAGAUACCCCGGUAGUCCUAGCCGUAAACGAU